rnacentral:rRNA from 1 species
UACGUAGGGUGCAAGCGUUAAUCGGAAUUACUGGGCGUAAAGCGUGCGCAGGCGGUUAUGUAAGACAGGUGUGAAAUCCCCGGGCUUAACCCUGGGAACUGCAUUUGUGACUGCAUAGCUAGAGUACGGUAGAGGGGGAUGGAAUUCCGCGUGUAGCAGUGAAAUGCGUAGAUAUGCGGAGGAACACCGAUGGCGAAGGCAAUCCCCCUGGACCUGUACUGACGCUCAUGCACGAAAAGCGUGGGGGAGCAAACGAGGAUAGAA